UGGAUGCUCUGGCGCUCAGCGGCUGCGGAGGUAUAAACUUGGAAUCCCAGCUGGAAAACAUUACUGGCAUGCUGUUCCAGCAGCUUUGUGAACGAGUGAACCCAGCAGACCCUCACUCUGUGGAGAACCGUAGCCUCGUCCUGAGGGCUUUCUUCAUCCUGGCCAAGUUAUACCAGGAUCAGAUGGUAUCCCUAUUACUAACGGCC